AUGGUCGGGGGAGGAGGUUGGGGACCCUCAGGAUGGUCAGCGGGAGGAGGUCCGGGGCCCUCAGGAUGGUCAGGGGAGGAGGUCGGGGUCCCUCAGGAUGGUCAGGGGGAGGAGGUGCAGGGUCCCUCAGGAUGGUCAGGGGGAGGAGGUGCAGGGUCCCUCAGGAUGGUCAGGGGGAGGAGGUCCGGGGCCCUCAGGAUGGUCAGGGGAGGAGGUCGGGGUCCCUCAGGAUGGUCAGGGGGAGGAGGUCAGGGGCCCUCAGGAUGGUCAGGGGAGGAGGUCGGGGUCCCUCAGGAUGGUCAGGGGGAGGAGGUCCGGGUCCCUCAGGAUGGUCGGGGGAGGAGGUCGGGGUCCCUCAGGAUGGUCGGGGGAGGAGGUCGGGUCCCUAGGAUGGUCGGGGGGAGGAGGUGCAGAGUCCCUCAGGAUGGUCAGGGGGAGGAGGUACAAGGGCCCUCAGGAUGGUCAGGGGGAGGAGGUGCAGGGUCCCUCAGGAUGGUGGGGGGAGGAGGUCGGGGUCCCUCAGGAUGGUCGGGGGAGGAGGUCCGGGGCCCUCAGGAUGGUCGGGGGAGGAGGUGCAGGGUCCCUCAGGAUGGUCAAGGGAGGAGGUACAAGGGCCCUCAGGAUGGUCAGGGGGAGGAGGUCCGGGGCCCUCAGGAUGGUCGGGGGAGGAGGUCGGGGUCCCUCAGGAUGGUCGGGGGAGGAGGUCGGGUCCCUAGGAUGGUCGGGGGGAGGAGGUGCAGAGUCCCUCAGGAUGGUCAGGGGGAGGAGGUACAAGGGCCCUCAGGAUGGUCAGGGGGAGGAGGUGCAGGGUCCCUCAGGAUGGUCGGGGGAGGAGGUCGGGGUCCCUCAGGAUGGUCGGGGGAGGAGGUCCGGGGCCCUCAGGAUGGUCGGGGGAGGAGGUGCAGGGUCCCUCAGGAUGGUCAGGGGAGGAGGUACAAGGGCCCUCAGGAUGGUCAGGGGGAGGAGGUCCGGGGCCCUCAGGAUGGUCGGGGGAGGAGGUCGGGGCCGCCGCGCUGGUCAGGCGGGGACUCCCCUGAGGCUCUCACUCCGCACGGCGCACGUGCAGCUCUUUCGAAGCGAGAGCCCCGCAUCAGCACACGGACCCGCGCCCGGGCCCCGGGUUCCCGCUCCGGCACCGCCCGCAGCACCUCAGCGACACUCACCUCCAGCCCCACCGUUCGCCGGAAGCGCUCGAUCCCCAGCGCGGCGGCGCGGCACUUCCGGUUACGCUCUAGGCCGCGGGAGGCCGUGCACUCGGCUGCUCCCCGCGCGGGCUCCGCAUCAGGCGCGCUGGUCCUUCCUCCCGCGCGGGUCUUAGCCGGGACCCCCCGCUCCCGCCCGCCGGCCUCCAGCCAGGCCCGGGGUCCGGCGUCUGCAGAGGGGAUACCGCAGAGAGGUGCCCACAGCACCCCAUGCGGAGGCCCACCGUGUCCAUCAGCUCUUCACUGGCGAGUGAUCGUUGUGACAUGUGGUCAGAUGUCGCCUGUUGUCUUCCCUCCUCAACCAGUAAGCCAUCCUGGAGGAGGAAGGCCGAGGGAGCGCGGCCAGGGCAGGGUAUGACGCCAGGAAGGACACUGCCGGUGACCCCAGUGGACACGGUCCACGAGGCAGAACUGGAGGCUGUGCUGGGCUCAAGGGUUGGAUCCGUGCGCCUGAAUUUGGUGACUGUCCUGUGGUUUCGUAAGAGAACACCCUUGAGAAUCGGGAGCGCACAAAGGCACUGCGAGGCCGAGGGUUCCCAAACCGUUCUACAAAGGGUUGGGAGAGGGACGCCCGGGAGGCUCAGCGGUUGAGCAUCUGCCUUGGUUGAGCAUCUGCCUUCGGCUCAGGGCGUGACCCCGGGGUCCUGGGAUCGAGUCCCUUCUCAGGCUCCCUGCAUGGAACCUGCUCCUCCCUCUGCCUCUCUCUCUCUCUCUCUCUGUCUCUCAUGAACAAAUAAAUAAAACCUUUAAAAAUAAUAAUAGGGAAAA
rnacentral:lncRNA from 1 species